rfam:TPA: Bos taurus chromosome 5, whole genome shotgun sequence.
CCUGAUAGCUCAGUGGGUAAAGAAUCUGCCUGCAAUGCAGGAGACCCAGAUUUGAUUCCUGGGUCAGGA